CUUCCUUCUUCUUGUUCUUCAAAUAUUUCAUAGUGUGUUUCACCUCGGCUAAUGAUUAAUGCCUACAAUAGCUCUCAAAAUUCGGAAACUAUUUUUAAUUUAUUGAUUUUCUUCUGAGGCAUGUUUUGAGUCACCCCUGCUGUGGCCUUUUCUGGAUUAGAUUCUCUAAGAAACGAGAGAGACUUCAAGCGUUGUUUAAUUGAAAGAUCAGGUUUUUCUACGUAGCUUUGUAGAGGUUCCGCACUCCAUUUCAUUUGCUCAUAUUUGUGGGGAAGAAAUAGUAGAAAUGGCUGAAGUCAUCGUGGGACUACUACUUUCUACGGUCACCGAUGCAGUGACCUCUCAAG